UCCUUUUACAAAUCAACACCAAUUUAUCAUUAUGAUAUAACACUUGCGGAGAUUAUCCAUAGUGAGAAUUUUUCCUAAAGAUGUUGUCCACAUGGAAAAUGCCACCCUCAAAGAAGCCUUAGAUCUCCAUAUGUUCUUUCAAGGAAAGUAGUAGUCAACGUUAGGGAGGAGAACUUUGUAAAAUGUUUUGACCUCAAAAGAUCAUCCUUUGGAAGAAACCCCAACAACACUCAUCUUCAUCUCCCCAACUCCUCCUAACAGAAUAUCUAGCAUUGAAAAAAGAAGAUACAUAAACCACGUCACAAUCACGCACCAAUUUGAUAAUAUUCAUGUCCCAAUGCACCUCGUCAUUAUGGGCAAACAUAUUUUAGCCACCAAAGCACCCCUACCCCUUGCAAUGCAAAAUAAUUUCGAAAAAGAUUCCUUCAUAGGAAGAUCCACACACCAAAAGUCAUAACAAAACCUGGUCCGAGAGCCAUCACCUACCUCGAUAGUAACCAACUAGAGAAGGCAUCCCAACCCCUCCUAAUAUGUUUCCAUAGUCACCCCAUAAGGCCCGACAACUUUAAAACACCAUCCACCCACCAAACUACCAUCUAUGUUAUCCAUUACCUAAAAAAUGACUUGACACAUACCUAGAAAAUGUGCACUUUGUUCUGAUCAGAAGCACAUUUGGACUUUGCACUUAGGAUCCAUCAUGCCUCUGUGCUUAAGUGCUCCUAAUGCUUGUAACAACAUUAAAGUUUUGUUUGAUAUGCGGAAUGGCUAUUCCUUGGAAUAGCCCUUAUUAAGAAUAGAAUUAGUAGAGUGAAUUAGCCUUGAAAUAAUCAUUCUCAUGGCCAUAAAAGAAUGAUUAUUCAUUUCAUUAAGGGAAUAAGCAUUCCUCUUAAAUUAAGAGGAAUAGCUAUUACUUCAAUUGAAGAAAUGGACAUCCCCUCAUGGACAUCAGAAUGGAUAUUACAAAGCUUUCACUACACUCAUUCCAUUCUUAAUAAAGGUUAUUCCUUGGAAUAGCCUUUCCGCGUACCAAAUGUGUCCUAACACUUUUAACUUCCCUAAAAGGACCCUAUUGAAGGUCCUCAAAUUCCGAAUCUCCAACCCUCCCUAAAAAAUAGGAGAGCACACCGAAAACUAGUUAACUAGAUGAGUUCAAAUUUCACCUGGUUAACUAGUCUUCGAUGUGCUCUCCUAUUUCUGACGGAGGGCUGGGAAUUCAAAACUUGAGGACCUUCAAUAGGGCCCUUUUAGGGAAGUGGUUGUGGCAUUAUGUGCAUGAGAGGGAGGCUUGAUGGAAAAUCAUUGUGGAUGCUAAAUUUGGUAGAAUGGGGUGGUGUUCUCUUACUCCCACGAGGCCACAUGGAGUGGGGUUAUGAAAAAAUAUUAGGAGGGGUUGAAGCUUAUUCUGCAGGGAGAUGGGUCUAGGAUCACAUUUUGGGAUGAUGUGUGGUGCGGAGAGCUACCUCUCAAAGACGCAUUUUCGGUCUUAUAUAGCUUUGUCCACAAGAAGGAUGCGUUUGUUGCAAAUCAUAUGGACUAUUCUAGUGACUCUCUUCAAUGGGAUGUUAGCUUUGUUCGCACGGCUCAUGAUUGGAAAUUGGACACCAUGGCUUCUUUCUUCACUCUUUUGUAUUCUUUUCGUGGGAGAAGAGAAGGGGAAGACAAGCUUUGGUGGAUCCCCUCCUGUAAGGGAAAGUUUGAUGUUAGAUUCCUUUUACAAAUUUUUAGCACAUAAUGAUGCUCGGCCUUUUCCUUGGAAGAGUAUCUUGAGGACAAAGGCGCCUGUGAAAGUAGCUUUCUUUGCUU
rnacentral:precursor_RNA from 1 species